rnacentral:rRNA from 1 species
AUUGAACACUGGCGGCAUGCCUUACACAUGCAAGUCGAACGGCAGCACGGGAGCAAUCCUGGUGGCGAGUGGCGAACGGGUGAGUAAUACAUCGGAACGUGCCCAAUCGUGGGGGAUAACGCAGCGAAAGCUGUGCUAAUACCGCAUACGAUCUACGGAUGAAAGCAGGGGAUCGCAAGACCUUGCGCGAAUGGAGCGGCCGAUGGCAGAUUAGGUAGUUGGUGAGGUAAAGGCUCACCAAGCCGUCGAUCUGUAGCUGGUCUGAGAGGACGACCAGCCACACUGGGACUGAGACACGGCCCAGACUCCUACGGGAGGCAGCAGUGGGGAAUUUUGGACAAUGGGCGAAAGCCUGAUCCAGCCAUGCCGCGUGCAGGAUGAAGGCCUUCGGGUUGUAAACUGCUUUUGUACGGAACGAAACGGCCUUUUCUAAUAAAGAGGGCUAAUGACGGUACCGUAAGAAUAAGCACCGGCUAACUACGUGCCAGCAGCCGCGGUAAUACGUAGGGUGCAAGCGUUAAUCGGAAUUACUGGGCGUAAAGCGUGCGCAGGCGGUUAUGUAAGACAGUUGUGAAAUCCCCGGGCUCAACCUGGGAACUGCAUCUGUGACUGCAUAGCUAGAGUACGGUAGAGGGGGAUGGAAUUCCGCGUGUAGCAGUGAAAUGCGUAGAUAUGCGGAGGAACACCGAUGGCGAAGGCAAUCCCCUGGACCUGUACUGACGCUCAUGCACGAAAGCGUGGGGAGCAAACAGG